rnacentral:rRNA from 1 species
GAUGAACGCUGGCGGCGUGCCUAAUACAUGCAAGUCGAGCGAACAGACGAGGAGCUUACUCCUCUGACGUUAGCGGCGGACGGGUGAGUAACACGUGGAUAACCUACCUAUAAGACUGGGAUAACUUCGGGAAACCGGAGCUAAUACCGGAUAACAUGUUGAACCGCAUGGUUCAACAGUGAAAGACGGUCUUGCUGUCACUUAUAGAUGGAUCCGCGUCGCAUUAGCUAGUUGGUAAGGUAACGGCUUACCAAGGCAACGAUGCGUAGCCGACCUGAGAGGGUGAUCGGCCACACUGGAACUGAGACACGGUCCAGACUCCUACGGGAGGCAGCAGUAGGGAAUCUUCCGCAAUGGGCGAAAGCCUGACGGAGCAACCCCGCGUGAGUGAAGAAGGUCUUCGGAUCGUAAAACUCUGUUAUUAGGGAAGAACAAAUGUGUAAGUAACUAUGCACGUCUUGACGGUACCUAAUCAGAAAGCCACGGCUAACUACGUG